GUGAGUCAUCGAAUCUUUGAACGCACAUUGCGCCCCUUGGUAUUCCGAGGGGCAUGCCUGUUCGAGCGUCAUGAUCAAAUCUCAAGCCUAGCUUGGAAUUGGGCUUUCGUCUCCUGCCAUUGCGGCUAGUUGAGACGUGUCUAAAAAGAAAUAGCGAUGCCUUUGAUGGACUCUAGCGUAGCAGACUGACUUGCGCUUGGAGGGCUGCGGUAGGUUUUUGCUAAUAAAAUAAUCAAGUUGGACCUCGGAUCAGGUAGGGAUACCCGCUGAACUUAAGCAUAUCAAUAAGCGGAGGA
rnacentral:misc_RNA from 1 species